GACGAACGCUGGCGGCGUGCUUAACACAUGCAAGUCGAACGAAGUGGCGAACGGGUGAGUAACGCGUAAUCAACCUGCCCUUCAGAGGGGGACAACAGUUGGAAACGACUGCUAAUACCGCAUACUGAAGGAGGGGAUUGCGUCUGAUUAGCUAGUUGGAGGGGUAACGGCCCACCAAGGGGCGGAUCAGUAGCCGGGCCUAUGUGAAGAACGACCAAAUUGGGAACUGGGACCGGCCCAGACCCCUACGGGAGGUAGGCGUGGGGAAACUUUGGAAAUGGAUGACAGUCUUACGGAGCACCGCCGCGUGGGUGUUGACGGCCUUCGGGUUGGUAAGGUCUGUUAAUCGGGACGCGGUACCGGAAUAGUAAGCCACGGCUAACUACGUGCCAGCAGCCGCGGUAAUAC
rnacentral:rRNA from 1 species